UACGUAGGCAGCGAGCGUUGUUCGGAGUUACUGGGCGUAAAGCGUGCGUAGGCGGUGGUCCAAGUCUGGUGUGAAAUCUCCCGGCUUAACUGGGAGGGUGCGCCGGAAACUGGGCCGCUGGAGUACGGGAGAGGCAAGCGGAAUUCCAGGUGUAGCGGUGAAAUGCGUAGAUAUCUGGAGGAACACCCGUGGUGCAGACGGCUUGCUGGACCGUGACUGACGCUGAGGCACGAAAGCGUGGGGAGCGAACAGG
rnacentral:rRNA from 1 species